GUGUACAGCCAUGCCACCCUGAACAAGCCUGAUCCCAUCUGAUCUCGGAGGCUAAGCAGGGUCGGGCCUGGUUAGUACCUGGAUGGGAGACCACCUAGGAAGACCAGGUGCUGUGUAGG
rnacentral:rRNA from 1 species